GACGAACGCUGGCGGCGUGCCUAAUACAUGCAAGUAGAACGCUGAAGGAGGAGCUUGCUUCUCUGGAUGAGUUGCGAACGGGUGAGUAACGCGUAGGUAACCUGCCUGGUAGCGGGGGAUAACUAUUGGAAACGAUAGCUAAUACCGCAUAAUAUUGACUAUUGCAUGAUAGUCAGUUGAAAGGUGCAACUGCACCACUACCAGAUGGACCUGCGUUGUAUUAGCUAGUUGGUGGGGUAACGGCUCACCAAGGCGACGAUACAUAGCCGACCUGAGAGGGUGAUCGGCCACACUGGGACUGAGACACGGCCCAGACUCCUACGGGAGGCAGCAGUAGGGAAUCUUCGGCAAUAGACGGAAGUCUGACCGAGCAACGCCGCGUGAGUGAAGAAGGUUUUCGGAUCGUAAAGCUCGGUUGUAAGAGAAGAACGAGUGUGAGAGUGGAAAGCUCACACUGUGACGGUAUCUUACCAGAAAGGGACGGCUAACUACGUG
rnacentral:rRNA from 1 species